rnacentral:rRNA from 1 species
GAGUUUGAUCGUGGCUCAGGAUGAACGCUGGCGGCGUGCCUAAUACAUGCAAGUCGAGCGAACGGACGAGAAGCUUGCUUCUCUGAUGUUAGCGGCGGACGGGUGAGUAACACGUGGAUAACCUACCUAUAAGACUGGGAUAACUUCGGGAAACCGGAGCUAAUACCGGAUAAUAUUUUGAACCGCAUGGUUCAAAAGUAAAAGACGGUCUUGCUGUCACUUAUAGAUGGAUCCGCGCUGCAUUAGCUAGUUGGUAAGGUAACGGCUUACCAAGGCAACGAUGCAUAGCCGACCUGAGAGGGUGAUCGGCCACACUGGAACUGAGACACGGUCCAGACUCCUACGGGAGGCAGCAGUAGGGAAUCUUCCGCAAUGGGCGAAAGCCUGACGGAGCAACGCCGCGUGAGUGAUGAAGGUCUUCGGAUCGUAAAACUCUGUUAUUAGGGAAGAACAUAUGUGUAAGUAACUGUGCACAUCUUGACGGUACCUAAUCAGAAAGCCACGGCUAACUACGUG